CAGUCAGAUGGAUCGAACCUUUCCUGGUUUCAACCGCGGUGAUUUUUCUUAACAAUGAUCAUCACCGGGUUCAAACUGGCCUAGGACAAAUCCUUCUA
rnacentral:pre_miRNA from 13 species